GACUUUAGUUUUUGUGGGAGUUGUAACUAAAAUUGGAAGAAUAAAACUACUCCUAAUGAAUGUCUCAAAGGGUAACUAUGAAAUGUAACUGGUGUGUGAAAGAUGUAUAAAUAUUGUUAGUAAACCUUUUAACUUUCUAUCUACCAAACCUUGAUAACAUAGCAGUCCAUCUUCUUAACAAUCAAUCAGUUAAUCGAUCAACAGGGACAUACACCGGGGGGCACGUCGCCUCACCCACCCUACGACACCAAGACUGGGGGUCCAUCCAGGCAAGUCUCCAUGCAGGCCCCCUUCCUAUCCUGAGCACCUUCUGGCAGGAUCUAUCAACUUCCUCAACCCAUGAACUCUGUGGGCAUCCCCUUGGCCCCCACCACUCAAUAUUGUCUCUGGUACUACCCAAUGAGUAGGGUCAGCAUCAAGGUAACAUGCCACAUCCCCGUAUAGCCAGAGUUGAUGUUGACUGACUAUGCAGGUAAUAUAUGUUAGAAUCAGUAUCAUGGAGCUUCUGGGUAACAUGCCACAUCCCCGUAUAGCCAGAGUUGAUGUUGACUGACUAUACAGGUAAUAUAUGCUGAAUCAGUAUCAUGGAGCUUCUGGGUAACAUGCCACAUCCCCGUAUAGCCAGAGUUGAUGUUGACUGACUAUGCAGGUAAUAUAUGUUAGAAUCAGUAUCAUGGAGCUUCUGGGUAACAUGCCACAUCCCUGUAUAGCCAGAGUUGAUGUUGACUGACUAUGCAGGUAAUAUAUGUUGAAUCAGUAUCAUGGAGCUUCUGGGUAACAUGCCACAUCCCUGUAUAGCCAGAGUUGAUGUUGACUGACUAUGCAGGUAAUAUAUGUUGAAUCAGUAUCAUGGAGCUUCUGGGUAACAUGCCACAUCCCCGUAUAGCCAGAGUUGAUGUUGACUGACUAUACAGGUAAUAUAUGUUGAAUCAGUAUCAUGGAGCUUCUGGGUAACAUGCCACAACCCUGUAUAGCCAGAGUUGAUGAUGACUGACUAUGCAGGUAAUAUAUGUUGAGUCAGUAUC